rnacentral:misc_RNA from 1 species
GAUGAAGAACGCAGCGAAAUGCGAUAAGUAGUGUGAAUUGCAGAAUUCAGUGAAUCAUCGAAUCUUUGAACGCACAUUGCGCCCCUUGGUAUUCCAUGGGGCAUGCCUGUUCGAGCGUCAUUUGUACCUUGAAGCUUUGCUUGGUGUUGGGUGUUUGUCUCGCCUUUGCGUGUAGACUCGCCUUAAAAUAAUUGGCAGCCGGCGUAUUGAUUUCGGAGCGCAGUACAUCUCGCGCUUUGCACUCAUAACGACAGCGUCCAAAAGUACAUUUUACACUCUUGACCUCGGAUCAGGUAGGGAUACCCGCUGAACUUAAGCAUAUCAAUAAGCGGAGGA